GUGAUUUGCCUUCGGGCUAAACUAUAUCCAUAACACCUGUGAACUGUUGAUUGACUUCGGUCAAUAUUUUUACAAACAUUGUGUAAUGAACGUCAUGUUAUAAUAACAAAUAUAACUUUCAACAACGGAUCUCUUGGCUCUCGCAUCGAUGAAGAACGCAGCGAAAUGCGAUAAGUAAUGUGAAUUGCAGAAUUCAGUGAAUCAUCGAAUCUUUGAACGCAACUUGCGCUCUCUGGUAUUCCGGAGAGCAUGCCUGUUUGAGUGUCAUGAAAUCUCAACCAUUAGGGUUUCUUAAUGGCUUGGAUUUGGACGUUUGCCAGUCAAAUGGCUCGUCUUAAAAGAGUUAGUGAAUUUAACAUUUGUCUUCUGGCGUAAUAAGUUUCGCUGGGCUGAUAGUGUGAAGUUUGCUUCUAAUCGUCCGCAAGGACAAUUCUUGAAC
rnacentral:misc_RNA from 1 species